rnacentral:rRNA from 1 species
UGGGGAAUUUCCCGCAAUGGGCGAAAGCCUGACGGAGCAAUGCCGCGUGGAGGUGGAAGGCCUACGGGUCGUCAACUUCUUUUCUCGGAGAAGAAACAAUGACGGUAUCUGAGGAAUAAGCAUCGGCUAACUCUGUGCCAA